rnacentral:rRNA from 1 species
AUACGGAGGAUCCGAGCGUUAUCCGGAUUUAUUGGGUUUAAAGGGAGCGUAGGCGGACGCUUAAGUCAGUUGUGAAAGUUUGCGGCUCAACCGUAAAAUUGCAGUUGAUACUGGGUGUCUUGAGUACAGUAGAGGCAGGCGGAAUUUGUGGUGUAGCGGUGAAAAUCAUAGAUAUCACGAAGAAAUCCGAUUGCGAAGGCAGCUCACUAGACAGUUACUGACACUGAUGCUCGAAAGUGUGGGUAUCAAACAGGAUUAGAUACCCUGGUAGUCCACACAGUAAACGAUGAAUACUCGCUGUUUGAGAUAUACAGUAAGCGGCCAAGCGAAAGCCUUAAGUAUUCCACCUGGGGAGUUCGCCGGCAUCGGUGAACCUCAAAUGAAUUGACGGGG